AUUGACUUAGUUCAAUUGAUAGAAUGUGUGGUUUUUAACUAAGUGGUCAUGGAAUUGAAUUCCAUAGUUGACA
rnacentral:tRNA from 1 species